CAUAUUUUUAUGGUGCAGUGUGUUCAUCCCACGUGGCAUCUCUUCGCAAUCAAAUUUGUUUGCGGUCAAGCUGGAGAGGCAAAGGUGGUCAAGUUGACCCAGAGACAUUCGCAACGCUUAUCAUGUGAAUCCAACACAAGAAAACAGUUUGAUGUGGGCAGGUUAUUUCACCACACACGAGGCAUGUCUCUCAUGAGUCCAACAUCAAUACAUGUAUACGUAUGAUCAGAAAUCUAGAGUUGGUAUGUUUAUUGUUGUAUUGUUUCAUUUGAACAAUUAUUGAGAUAUCAAUGAAUUUUAAUUGUAUGAAUGUUCUUUGGUAUUUUAGUUUGUCCUUUUGUCUUUGUGUGUGUAUUAUUUUCUUUUUGACUGUCUUUGGUGGGAGUAGAAAAAAAUGUUUAUGAUAAAUAAGUGCUAGUUAGUGGUGGAGCUUAAGCUUAGAGUAUGAAGCUUUGUUGUUUUUUUUUCUGUAAAGACUACAUAUUACAGGUUUUAUUUGUAUAGUAU